UACGGAGGGGGCUAGCGUUGUUCGGAAUUACUGGGCGUAAAGCGCACGUAGGCGGCUUUGCAAGUUAGAGGUGAAAGCCCGGAGCUUAACUCCGGAAUUGCCUUUAAAACUGCAUCGCUAGAAUUGUGGAGAGGUGAGUGGAAUUCCGAGUGUAGAGGUGAAAUUCGUAGAUAUUCGGAAGAACACCAGUGGCGAAGGCGACUCACUGGCCCGGUACUGACGCUGAGGUGCGAAAGCGUGGGGAGCAAACAGG
rnacentral:rRNA from 1 species